ACGGAGGGCGCAAGCGUUGUUCGGAAUUACUGGGCGUAAAGCGCGGGCAGGUGGUCUGUUAAGUCGUUUGUGAAAAUCCGGGGCUCAACCCCGCGAAAUGCAGACGAUACUGGCAGGCUGGAGAUCGGUAGAGGCUAGCGGAAUUCCUGGUGUAGCGGUGGAAUGCAUAUAUCAGGAAGAACACCUGUGGCGAAGGCGGCUAGCUGGGCCGAGUCUGACACUCAUCCGCGAAAGCGUGGGGAGCAAACAGG
rnacentral:rRNA from 1 species